rnacentral:rRNA from 1 species
UCCCAGACUCCUACGGGAGGCAGCAGUGGGGAAUAUUGCACAAUGGGGGAAACCCUGAUGCAGCAACGCCGCGUGAGUGAGGAAGUAUUUCGGUAUGUAAAGCUCUAUCAGCAGGGAAUAGAAAAGAAGGUACCUGAAAAAGAAGCCCCGGCUAACUCCGUGCCAGCAGCCGCGGUAAUACGGAGGUUGCGAGCGUUAUCCGGAUUUAUUGGGUUUAAAGGGUGCGUAGGCGGCAUUAUAAGUUAGUGGUAAAAUAUUGGGGCUUCACCUCACUACGCCAUUAAUACUGUAGAGCUAGAGAACGGACGAGGUAGGCGGAAUAAGUUAAGUAGCGGUGAAAUGCAUAGAUAUA